CAGAGCAGGAGAUCUCCAUUAGAAGUGACGGAGCAGGAACACGUCGUGCCCAAAUGACAGACUUCUGGAUCAGAAGUAACCAGGGCAUGAUUCGGACAGUAAAUGUUUGUUGCGGAUUGUUGAAUCAGACCAGCAGUUAAAAAAAAUCCUAACUCCAGAACAGAAAAGGGAGAUAUGCUACAUCGGGAAGGAGAUUUUACAUUUGUUCCAACAGGAAAAGUGAAGCUAUGGGGUCCUUCCAAACUGAUAAGGAUCAGAUACGGCCGGGGAAGAAUUAGACGGUAUGCGCUCAUGUGAGUGCAGAUGCUGGCGUGGUCCAGAAGAGGGCGUUGGAACCCCCGGACUUGGCAUUACAGGCAGUUGUGAAGCAUCCGAUUUGAGCACUGGGAACUGAACUCUGAUAGAGUCAUGUGCUCUUAUCACGGAAGCAUAUUCAGCCCCUUCAAGUUUUUACAUUAGCAGGGCAAAGAAAGUCAGAAACAGGCCCUUUUCAAAUACACCGGUGGAAAACUUAUAUAGAUGGGCUAUAAAAAAGGCAGAGAAUCUCAGCUCUGGGCCUUAGACGCUGUCUGAUGGCAUCCAUAGCCCUUUGGUUGGGGGAAACUAGGGUUUUGUUAAUACAUUCCAAAAAGUUGCUCCAGUUAGUCACAGAUUGCGAGGCUGGCAAGGCACGGCUGUGAAGGUGGCUCAAGAGAGUCCACGAGGAAUUUUAAUCAGGCUUCAGACCUGCAAUAUUCCCACCCAUCCACAAUCAUUGAUAUUCGUAUCAGGUACAGCCUGGAGAAGGUUCAGGGCAAGGCACUGGUCCAUGCAGGGACUUUGGUUUCUGGUUCUCUCUAUAAGCCAAGUAUCACAUGUCAUUUAUUAAGUAUUAUGAAAGUUCCGUGUCUACAGGGAAGACUUCCUAGGAACUGAUGUGGCAAAGGCUUGAGCAGUCAGGAGACCAGGCUUCAGGAGAGAGGAAAAACUGGUAAAGUGGUUAAGGAAGAAACUCCUGGAUCGUAUCAUUAAAACCGACUAGCCAAUCACGAUUAAGAGCUGGUGCUUUUUUUUUUUUUUUAAUCAUGG
ensembl:lncRNA